rnacentral:rRNA from 1 species
UACGUAGGGACCAAGCGUUGUUCGGAUUUACUGGGCGUAAAGGGCGCGUAGGCGGCGUGGUAAGUCACUUGUGAAAUCUCUGAGCUUAACUCAGAACGGCCAAGUGAUACUGCUGUGCUAGAGUGCAGAAGGGGCAAUCGGAAUUCUUGGUGUAGCGGUGAAAUGCGUAGAUAUCAAGAGGAACACCGGUGGCGAAGGCGGGUCUCUGGGCCGUAACUGACGCUGAGGAGCGAAAGCGUGGGGAGCGAACAGG